GCUUGUUUUGAAGACUCUGAUGUUCAUCGCAGCUCAUGGAGUACACACACACAGACACAGACACACACAAAGGAGACAGAAGGGAUGUUUUGGUGACAGAAACAGCUUGACCAUGAGGACCCUCCUCUUUCUCCCUCCAUGAAGGCCCUUAUACUGCAUAGUGCUUGGGGCUGAUAAAGCCAUUUCCCUACAUUUCUCAGGCUGGACCCAAGGUCAUCCACCAGAAAUUUGGAAAACAAAGGGAAGAGAAUCUGUAGAUAUGAAUUGGGAGUGUUCAGGAGAAAAAUUUGGGAUUUACUUUUGUGCAUGGGACACAGGCUGAGAAUAAGAAUGUUUUCCUGGCUCUUUCUUGGAAAGCCAGAUAGGCUUCACCUGAAAGCAUAUUGCCAAUGCUCCAGCGAUCCACUUACCAGGGACUGUGAUUUUCUUGGUUGUGAAGUUUUUGCCAUUAGUGACUGGGUUAUGGACAUAACACAGAUAGUCCCCACUAUUCUCUGUAGUGACUUGGGGGAUAAAGAGCUCUUGUCCUGUUUG
rnacentral:lncRNA from 1 species